rnacentral:SRP_RNA from 1 species
GCCAGGCGUGGUGGCAUGCGCCUGUAAUCCCAGCUACUUGGGAGGCUGAGGCAGGAGAAUCGCUUGAACCUGGGAGGCAGAGGGUGCAGUGAGCUGAGAUCAUGCCACUGCACUCCAGCCUAGGUGACAGGGCGAGACUCCGUCUCAA